UACUGUGAACCAGAGCCAAGGCAAUUAUGGG
rnacentral:piRNA from 1 species